GAAAUGCGAUAAGUAGUGUGAAUUGCAGAAUUCAGUGAAUCAUCGAAUCUUUGAACGCACAUUGCUCCCUUUGGUAUUCCUUAGGGCAUGCCUGUUCGAGCGUCAUCUAAACCUUCAAGCCCUGCUUGGUGUUGGGUGCCUGUCCCGCCUCCGCGCGCGGACUCACCUCAAAUCCAUUGGCGGCCCCCGCGUCGGCCACGAGCGCAGCAGAAACGCGAACUCGUGAGCCCGUCCGGGCGGCUCCCAGAAGCUACACCCACCCAGUUUGACCUCGGAUCAGGUAGGGAUACCCGCUGAACUUAAGC
rnacentral:misc_RNA from 1 species